rnacentral:rRNA from 1 species
UACGUAGGGUGCAAGCGUUGUCCGGAAUUAUUGGGCGUAAAGAGCUCGUAGGCGGUCUGUCGCGUCUGCUGUGAAAACUCAGGGCUUAACCCUGAGCUUGCAGUGGGUACGGGCAGACUAGAGUGCGGUAGGGGAGACUGGAAUUCCUGGUGUAGCGGUGAAAUGCGUAGAUAUCAGGAGGAACACCGGUGGCGAAGGCGGCCCUCUGGACGGAUACUGACGCUGAGACGCGAAAGCGUGGGGGGCAAACAGG